rnacentral:rRNA from 1 species
UACGUAGGGUGCGAGCGUAAAUCGGAAUUACUGGGCGUAAAGCGUGCGCAGGCGGCGCGUUAAGACAGGUGUGAAAGCCCCGAGCUUAACUUGGGAAUUGCGCUUGUGACUGGCGUGCUGGAGUGUGGCAGAGGGAGGUGGAAUUCCACGUGUAGCAGUGAAAUGCGUAGAGAUGUGGAGGAACACCGAUGGCGAAGGCAGCCUCCUGGGCCAGCACUGACGCUCAUGCACGAAAGCGUGGGGAGCAAACGGG